UACGGAGGGUGCAAGCGUUAUCCGGAUUCACUGGGCUUAAAGGGCGCGUAGGUGGGCAAGUAAGUCAGUGGUGAAAUCUCCGGGCUUAACCCGGAAACUGCCAUUGAUACUAUUUGUCUUGAAUACUGUGGAGGUCAGCGGAAUAUGUCAUGUAGCGGUGAAAUGCUUAGAUAUGACAUAGAACACCAAAUGCGAAGGCAGCUUGCUGCACAGUUAUUGACGCUGAGGCACGAAAGCGUGGGGAUCAAACAGG
rnacentral:rRNA from 1 species